rnacentral:lncRNA from 1 species
GAUAGCGUCCAGGAGCUAGUGGGUGACAACAUGGAGCCCCGUGGAGCCGCGCGGGCGCUUCAGGGGCAGGCAUCGUGGUUUUGACUCUUCCCAGGGGCCUGGCGAGGGGACGUGUUUCCUGAGAAUGCGCAUCCCUGCCGGGGUAGAACAUUCAAGAAGUGUGUUCAGGAUGGAUUAAGUGGGAAGAGGCCGUUGCAAAAUAAUGUAAAACCAAGAUAUUGUGCGGAAAGCAGUAUCUGACAUAGCCGAGGGACAGGCUGUCGGCUCAUUUUACAUUUGGGUGGGGGUGGGGAGAAAGGUGAUUUUUAUUUAUUUAUUUAUUUUUUAUUUGCUGCAUUUGCAAGCAGGCAUCCCCAGCCUGGCUCUUCUGGAAGCAAACCUGGUGAACUCCUGAGCCCUCCAGCAAGGCGGGCAGGGCCCGAAUGUCUGGAGAGGACUUUGGACCGUGUAGCGGGCACCUCCCUUGCUAGGGGGUGCAGGGUGAUGAGGAAGCUCUGGCCCCUGAGGUAGAGGAUGAAAAAGGACCCCGGUUCAAGUAACCAGAAUGGAAAAUGGCAUCUGACAGGAACUCCUGCCAGGAACCUCUCCCUGGUUAACACCCACACCCCAUACAAAACAACCCCUUGAAAGCAGGCCCCCUUGGCAACCGAGAAGAAGCUGGUGAAGACAUUUCGCCUGCGUCUGUGAGGUGGUAUCAGCAGGCAGGGCUGGGCCUGACAUGCACCCCUCCCUGUGCUUCUCGGAAAACUGGUGACUGUGUGUCAUCUGACCUUCAGCACAGAAGGUGGUGAUGUGGCAAGCCCAGGCUUGCUCCCUGGCGCCUGCUUAGCCCUGUUUCUCUGCCAGGGGAAGAUUCCGGCAGUGCGGCCUCCUCCAGGAUCUGCCCCAUCAGUCUCUUCCUGACUGUAUCUCCAGGGGUGGGUUGGGGUGGGGUGAUUUGGCCUGAAAGAACCGUGUGGAAAGAGGGAAUUGUCUGUCAAAAUGUUCUAGAAAGCUGGGCAGCUUAUGAAACCAAUGGAGGAGUCUUCACUGCUGCUUCACAGUACUGGGCAGUGGAGUCAGCCAGACCUUUCUUUAUCUCACCAGGCAUCUGAGAGGUGGGUCGUCCCCGCUGUAGUGCUGUUUCUGGGCCCCAGUUGAUGUCUUAACUUGCUUUUCUCUAUUUCAGGUCUCGAAAUCUCUCUAAUUCACACACAUCAUUCCCAAAUCCCAGAAACAAACUAUGGUAGAUUUUAUUUUUCAAAAAAGAGUGGGAUCCAUUCGCUUUUGAAGGCCAUGGUGGGAGGAUUGCCUAGAGGCCAGGAGUUCGAGACCAGCCUGGGAAACACAGCAAGACCCUGUCUCUACAAAAAAUGAAAGAAAAAAAAAAAAAAAAGCCAGGUGCACAUGACUGCCUGUAGUCUCAGCUACUGGGGAGACUGAGGCAGCAGGAUCCCUUGAGCCUAGGAUUUUGAGGCUGCAGUGAGCUAUGAUUGUGCCACUGCACUCCAGGCUGGCCAACAAGAGUGAGACCCUUUCUAAUACAUAUAUAUAUAUAGAUUUUUUUUUAAGUAGGGACAAUUACUGACAUACAAAACAUAGGAUUCUGUAAAGCAUAGGCUUCCCUGUCACAAAGGGAACCAAGUCUCCUUUGUGCCCUUGUAUCUGGAGCUGCCUUUGCCACCCUGGGUUUUCAAGGACAAAAGGGCACUGUUUCAGAGGGUCCUUAUGUAGAAGCUUUGCUGGCCUCCAAGUUCCACACAGCUCGUUUUUCUCGGGAAAGGAAUGUAUUUAAGGAGAGAUGAGCUGAGGGUAGACAACCACAUGGAUAUCUCUGUCCUGCCUUAAGGGGCCAAAGCUGUGCCCACAGUAAGGAGGGUACACAUUGGGCCUGGGUUCUGCUCUCUUCCUCUACAAAUAAGUCUAAAAAUACCUCUGCCCAGCUGGAGGGUGAGAGCAGGAAGGCCGGUGUCAGCAGAUUUCUCUAGAUCAAAACAAGUUGUUCCAGAAAACAGCAGCAAACAGAGGCCCUUGGAUUCCGGGGUGGAGCUGGGUGGUGAAGGGCCCGCCCUGCCUGUGUGGGUGGCCAACUCCUGCUUCUUCCCAGGCAGACAGAGGAACAGGAGGGGGCUGCUUUGGCAACAUCUGGAUUCCAGGGUUAGGGCCCUGUCUCCAAGCCCUUUCUUUCUUUUCUUUUUUUUUUUGAUGGAGUCUCACUCUGUUGCCCAGGCUGGAGUGCAGUGGUGUGAUCUCUGCUCACUGCACCCUCCCUCCUGGGUUCAAGUGAUUUUCCUGCCUCAGCCUCCCGAGUAGCUGGGACUAUAGGCUUACACCACCACAUUGGCUAAUUUUUUUUUUUUUUUUUUGUAUUUUUAGUAGAGACAGGGUUUUACCACAUUGGCCAGGCUGGUCUCCAACUCCUGACCUCAAGUGAUCCACCUGCCUUGACCUCCCAAAGUGCUGCGAUUACAGGGGUAGCCACCGCGCCUGGCCCCUGUCUCCAAGCCCUUUCUUGCGGCUAUUGCCAAUCAGGGUCACUGGUCUCCCGGGUGCCUGGAGCCCCACAUCUUGUUCUGAAGCCAGGUCAGCUCUGUGGUUUCCAAACAUAUAGACAGACCAGUCCCAGGAAGUACCCGGGAUUUCCCACAGGAGCCCCUGGAAAAGGGGAGCAGAAGCCGGGUAAGAAAGGGUGGUUCUUCAGGCUUAUACCAAGGGCAGGACAAUGACAGUGUUGCUACUACUGCUUGAGAAUGUGCAGGGCCCCAGCCCUCCAUUCUCCACGGGUCUAGUUCUGGAGCUGUGGCCUCCAGGGCCAUUUUGGGCUCCCCGCUCACCAGAGAUCUGAGGCCUAGGCCCUUUCUGAGCCCUGAGGCCCCUCAGCUCAGGGCCUGGGUCUGGAAACUGCACUGUCACUGUGUGCUGGCCGGGAGCCCGCCUUUCACGCCUCGCAGCCAGUGCAGGAAACACAAGCUGGGCCCCACCCCCAACUCUAACCGGCCUCUUCCUGUGAGGCUCCGGCCUGCUCUGCCCCCACCUCUCAUGUGACCAGGGUAGGCCACCCCUCCCAGCCUUGCUUCCCCCAUUUUGAGGCUCCUCUCGGCCCUAACAUCUCUUGAUUCUGACAGUGUAGUGUUUCCUGGAACACUCUUCACCUAGUUGCUGCCUAGUCCACUUCCACUGCUCCUUCAGGCCUCUGCCCUAAGGUCACCACUCAGCCAGCCUCCUGACCACAACUCUAAAGCGCCGCCCCAACUUGAUCUCCUCGAGGGAGGGGUUUCGGUCUGUUUUGCCCGGGAUUGCUGUGCCCUGGCACGUGACUCUGCACUUUGUUUUGUAAAGGUCACUGAGCACCCUGAGGCUCUGGGUAAAUAUUUGUGGACUGACUGAGGAAGGGAGUUCCCAGGUCAGCUGCAGCCCCAUAAAUGUGAUGACAGGCCCAGCUCUGUGGGGUCCCAGGUCAGGAGGCAGGAGAGGGAAGAAGGACAGCGGCUGCUCUCAGUGGACUGGGACUGCCUGGGGUGGCCAAGGGGAACUGGGGUGCACUCUCAGCCACACGUUGGCAAAGGCAUUUGAGGGAGAGGGCAUCAGAGGGAGGGGGUCUCCCAUGGCCCUGGUUUACAAAGCUGAGGUGAGGUGAGGUGAGCAUGCCCCAGGGCUGCUGCACCUACAGGAGCCGACUGUCCCAACCCCAGCCCCACGGGCCCUUCCUCCUUCCCAACUGUCCUGGGCCCUCCCUCAGCACCUCCCAUUCCCCCCCCACCCCCAAACAUACUGAGCCCUCCGGCUAUUUUUAACACUUUGACCUAAUGUGGGCUGGUCCACCACAUGUGCUGGAAAGCAGGCCGCCCACCAGGAAGGCGAGGCAGGGGAGGACCCUCAGGAGGGGGCUUCUCACUCUUGCAUUUGACCCGUCACCUCGGGCUGCGUGGGGUCUGUGCACGCCCUUUCCUCACUACUGCCAAGGCAGAUCUAAGGGGGGCUUCCUCUGCCCAGGGCCAAGCCCCAGGCCUCGGGCUGUGCUUUACAGGAAAGAACUUUGCGGUGUCAGCCCCCUGCAUCCGGAUGUCCUGGGACUGUCCCCUGUUCCGUGCCAUGCUAGAGUGCCUGGGCACCUGCCCCUUACCCCAGGCCUUGGUCCCCCGUCCUCCUGAGCACUCACCCACUCCUUGGAGCCUUGCCUGAGCUGGCACCCUAGAACACCCUGUCCUCCUUGCCUCCUCCUGCCUCUUCACCAGCUCACUGCUACCUCUGUCUCCUGUAGCCCCAUCCUGUCACAGAGCUCACGAGACCUUCCUGUUCCCACCCUGCCACGCUGAGCGCCUGUGUCCUCACUCCUGUUCCCGCAGAGAGAAGGCCUGUGGAAUGCGUGGCUGGGCCCCAUAGCCCUGCCUCCCCGGGCUGCCCUGCACCUCCAGCGGCCCCUAGACCUCCUCCAACCCUCCCCACCCUCCUUGGCCAAAUAAGCGAGCCCAGCUUUCCUAGGCCCCACACUUUCGCCUGUGCUAACCUUUCCAGCCUCCUCCCCAAGCCCACCCACUGGGAAUCCUGGCGCCAGCUCCUCUGAGCAGGGAGCCCAGGUGCUGACAUCCCACUACCUCCACCCCUAGGUUUGCAAAGCCCUCUGUCUUCAGGACCGCCAGCCGCCCCCACUGCCAGAGCCUACCACUUCCUCUUGGGUCCCUGCUGAUGGGAAUGGCCUGCACUGUGCUUGUCCCGGUGGCCCCAUCACAGCACCAGUUGUGACUGUCCUUGAAUCUCUGAAGGAGCCUUUUCUGCCCCAACCCACCUUGGUCUGACUGAGUGCCCUCUGUGAGCAAGUUGGCCAUGGUGCCAGGGCUUCUGCGGGGAGUAGAACCCCCCUGCCCGGGAGGCUGCUGACCUUGACGAUACUGUAUGGGAGGCCUGUGCUCUCGCUGGCUGGGAGAACUUGUCAGGGUCACUGCCACCCCCACAACAAAGUGCCAAGGUCAGAUGGGCACCGGACAAAGAAGUCCUUGGGAAGAGCUGGGACUAUUAUUCUCUCUUUUGCAAAUUAUGUCAAAUAGUUAAAAAUAGCAGGAAGACUUAGUGUGUGAGGUGGGGACAGGAGGUGCUGGAAGAGGGCUCAGGGCAGCUGGGAAGGAGGAAGGGCCCAGGGGCAGAGGCCGGACAGUCAACUGCCUCAGGAGGGAGGCGACUAGUGCCAGGUUGUGCUCACUCCACCUCUUAGAUGUCUCCAAAUAGCCCCAGUUUAAGUAUUUUUACUAAGCUGUCAUUUCACAGAAAAGCACACAUCUACAGCAGAAUCCGUUUCCAGGACAUGGAUCCUGACCUUUGGAAAACUCAGGACCCAUCACGAAGCUGAGGAAUGCCCCCGCCCACCACCAGGGAAACAAACCCCUUACCCUGUGUUCUUGAAAGUUGGGGACCCCCAUCAUGGGCCCAGUGGCAGGAAGAAGGUCAGGGCAGUCAGGAGCCAGGACUCCCACUCUGAGAGCGGGUGAGCCCGCAGCGCCAGACCCAAGGCCCCCGAGAUUCUGUCGUGGGGCACGACCCUGGUUCCAGGUUGCCUGGGCGGGCAGUGCUGCUCACUGUCACUGUCCCUGCAGCCCGGCAGGAGGAAAGGGUGAGCUCAGCUGCCCCCUGCUGGCCGCAGCCGAACCAGCAACCUGCAGAUGGGAGUAGGCUCCGCCCCACCCACGCUGUCCGCCCAGUGGGGGCGAGAGGAGCCGGGCCACCACACGGCACUGGACUUGCUGCUUAAAACUGAAGUCCUCAGACCCAGGCCCAGCCCUGCACCCCCAUUCUGGGUGAAGUUGGGUAGUCUGCCUACUUUCUUUGAAAUGUGGGGUGGAUUUGGACAGGGAGAAAAAUGCCAGGUAGCUCUAAAAGUCCUCUGCACAAAGGAGAAGAAUGAGCGAUGAGAAUCUGUCCCGAGGCCUGCACCUCCUUUGGGUCAGCACUGUCAGUGUCCCUUAGGCUCAAAGUCACAGGCUUUGGUUGACUGUCCCUGCUCCAUCCCAUG